AAGAACGCAGAAGGCAGCGGAGGGGGUGGAGGUGGCGGCGGAGGAGCGGAAGAAGCCACGACUUCGUAUUGCAGGGUUGUAUCAUUGGGAGACCUCUUCGUCUUGCUCCCUCUCUUCUUCUUCUGAUAGGACAAAGCGACAGUUGUCUCGAUGUCCUUCGCCCCAGCAGUGCUCCACUUAUUAUGACUAAUUAUCUCCUCCGGCGGCAGCGACCGUACCGGCUGAGGUGGUGGGGGUGGCGCUGGCGGUGGUGUCUGAGGCUUCUCGAGUGGGAAGUCAGGAUCUUGGUCCACCUCCCAUUUUGGAAUAUUCCCGACGCUCCCUCUCCGACGCUGCGAGGUUUCCGACGCUGGUAACGACAGGUGAGACUUCAUCGCGAACUCUGCAAUCUGUCUCAUUUCCCCGGCCGGAAACUUCUCCAUGGUCUUCCUCCUGCUCGGCUGGGGCGGCAUCGGUGGCGGCGGCGGUAACGACCGUGGAUGAAGAUUCUCCGAACUAAAGAUCUCAUCUUUGUCCACUUCCUUGUCCUCUUGUAACUUAUCGACGUCGUUCCUCCUCCCAGGCUGGCGCUGCGACGGAGGCGGUGACUGUGGAUGGGGCUUUUCUGAUCGAAAGAUCUCAGCCUUGUCCGCCUCCCUUCCUGGAAGCCCAUCUACCGCUCUCUUCCCCGGACGCCGCCGCGGUGGUGGCGACGGCGGACUCGGCGGAGAUCUAGAUCUUGUAGAGGAGCUCUGUCGAAGAACGAACGUGACCACCGGAAUCGUCUUCGGGUCCAGAUACCCAAACCUCUGCCUCUCGCACCCCUCCGACUCUGACCUCCGGCGACAAAGAUGGGCAUCAUCGUAGCAACGCCACCCAUCAUUGGAGGCGGCGCCAAAUGUCGCUACUUCCGCCCUCAGAUCGCCGUAGGAGCUGCUGCUCCGCAUCACACGAAUACCCACCGUGGGGGCGGCCUCCUGAAGAGACUUCUCAGCGUCGUCGUCGCCGCCAGAGCGGCGGCCGAGGAGGCCGCAGAGAAUGGCGAAGAGGACGAGAAGUAGGUUGAGGGUAUCCCAUCCGUUCCUUACCACAAUGAUCCGGGAGCCACGGAACGAGGAAGAGAGGGAGCGAGGAGGGAGGAAUAGGAGCACCAACACGGAGAAGAGCAGAACAAGAACAACCCAUACCCGAAUUCCAGCAACAGCAGCAGAAGCUUCUCUUUCCCUUACCAUUUGGGAGCGAGGAAGGACAAAAAGAUA
rnacentral:lncRNA from 1 species